GGGGUAGAGGUUGCAGUCGGAGCUGGGAAAUCUAGUUAGAGUUUGAAAGUGCAGCUGGGGUCGGGUUAGGUUUAGGCUGGAGCUAAAGCUAAACUGGGCUUGGAGCGGUGGGAUGAGUUAGGGUCCAGGCUCUGGAGCAGAUAGAGAACAUUCCUCCUGCUGCCCGGAUCUGGGAAUUGUGUUCGAGCCCUAACAGCGGCGGACAGAAGCCCCUCCCUUCCCAGGAAUGCCUCCAGCCCAGCAGAUGGAGCUGUGCCACGUCAGCCAAUCAGCUCAAAGCCCAGCCUUGGAAACACCUGUUGAUCCCCCUCCCCCCCCACGCACACCCCCAGGGCUUACCUGGACCAGGUUAGGCAGGUGAAGCACCUCCCCGGAAACGGAGCUGGAGCGCCCCACCUGCCUGGCCCUGUCUGCUCUGAUCGGAUCCAGCGCUUCCAGGCUUCUUGUCCUAGAAUGCCCAUUGGAAUUUUGAAGCGGAGAUGUCAGAUGACUCGCUCCCAUCCUUCAAGAUAAAUGUUAUUGUCCUCAUUUUUCCAAUAAGGAGACUGAGGUUCUAAGAGCCCUCCCCCAGGAGCCAGCGGUGACAGCUGAGGCCAUGUGAGUCCGAUCCUGAAUGAGGCUUUAUCUCUGCUCUUGGUCCCAUCAUCCACUGUGGCACCAGCUCCUUCGGGCCGCCGGGAUGGGACAGGCACCUGAGAGAACCAGAGAGGUGCUGGAGAGUGCGCCCUGGGCUGGGAGAGGACCGGGACCCCAGGCCUCUGGCUGCCGAGCAGCUGGUGGGGGCUCUAGGCCAUGACCCGCGCCCCGGGCCCCCUGGCUCUGCCCUGCGCCCUGCACCCGGCCCCCUGCCAUGUCUGAAGGGGAGGCUCCAGCCCCGCCGGGCCGGGGGCUGCCCCCCGACAUGCUGGCCGAGCAAGUGGAGCUCUGGUGGUCCCAGCAGCCGCGCCGCUCGGCACUCUGCUUCGCCGUGGCCGUGCUCCUGGUGGCGGGCUGCGGGGCGGGCGGUGUGGCCCUGCUGUCCUCCACCAGCAGCCGCUCGGGUGAGUGGCGCCUGGCGGCAGGCACGGUGCUCUGCCUGCUGGCCCUGCUGGUCCUGGUCAAGCAGCUGAUGAGCUCGGCCGUGCAGGACAUGAACUGCGUCCGCCAGCCCCAGCACGUGGCCCUGCUGCGCAGUGGCGGGGGCGCCGACGCGCUGGUGGUGCUGCUCAGCGGCCUGGUGGUGCUGGUCACCGGCCUGACCCUGGCCGGGCUGGCCGCCGCCCCCGCCCCUGCGCGGCCGCUGGCUGCCAUGCUCUCCGUGGGCAUCGGCCUGGCGGCCUCGGGCUCGCUCUUGCUGCUGGGCCUGCUGCUGUACCAGGUGGGCGUGAGCGGCCACUGCCCCCCGCUCCCCGCCGCCGCCCCCUCAGCCCGCAGCGACGGCAGCGUCCUCAGCAUCUCGGGACAGCUGUCUGCUGGCCAGCGGCACGAGACCACGUCCAGCAUCGCCAGCCUCAUCUGACCAGGCGCCGGCGAGCUCCCCCUUCUCACGAGCUGCCCAGCACCCACAGGGUGGGUGGGAGUGGGGGCGCACUUCCGGGACGCGUGCAGGGAGUGCGCGUGGACAUGCACGUGUCCCCAGGACUGCCCACCCCCUGUGGGGUUGCAUGACCUGUGCCGAAGAGCCCACGUGUCCCCACACAUCCAUGCCGCAGGAAGGCGUGCGCAGGUCUCCUUGGAACUCGGGGUUUGUGACCAUGGAGCAGUUGGAGUCUACCUGUCUGUCACCGGGGUCCCUGAAGAUCCUUGGCACCCACUCUCAACAGCCCUCGAAUUCAACCCUGCCUUGUAGCACCGAUGAGGGGUUUCCCAGGAGUGACUGUUUCCCGCCCCCAGAGACCACACCAGUGACUCUUCACGGACCACGAGAGUGGUCACCUAACUGGUGACCAGGUGGAAAGAACACAGGCUCCGCAAUGUGACAGGACUGGACUGGGAUACCCCAUCCACGACUCCCCAGCUGGGGGCCCUGGGCAAGUGACUUAACCUCCCGGAGCCUCAGGUUCCGAAGAGUCACAGUCGUGAUCGUGGUGACCAAUGGGACCAAGAUCUGGGGGCUCCUCCUGGAGAAACCUGGGAGCUGAUGGAUGGGGGAAGGGUGUUGCCAGCAGGGUGAGUGGAAACAAGAGGCCAUGUCCGGGAGCACCAAGGACAGCAGAGCCUCCCCCGGGAACUGUGGCAUCUCAGACCCUGCAUAUUCAACCUGGGAUCCCCUCGUCCUCAUCCCCACCCAGCUCCUCAUCUCACCUGGGGGGUAUGGCCUUCGCCCAGCACCUCGCUCCCUCCCCACCUCGUGCCCUGGGAACACAUCACCACCUGCGGACUCCACCGCCCACUCCCAGCGCCCUCCCCGGCUAUGCGUGAUUUGUGCAGCCUCCCCUGGGGGGGGGGCUCCCUACUUCUACUCUUUUCUUCCUCAGUUCACCUCCCCCCAACCCCACCACGUACAUAUACUUGAGCCACAGUGUUAGAGUAGGUGGGGGGGAAGGGGAUGCAGGGGGAUGUGCCCCACCCCCAUUGACCCCGGCACCGGGAGGCUCUUCACCCCUUCUCUUGUCCUUGAAAUGUGUGUCCCACUUGCCAGCCUGGCUCCUAGAAGCUGCCCCAAGGAUACAGCCUCGAGACAGUGAUGUCGCGAGGAGACUAUCUGGGUGGCACAGGACACUGAACCCAGUUAAGGCCUCGGUGUAAGAUCUGACAGGCAGGUGCUGAGAUCUACUCACCCCCACCUCCCCGAGAGUCACCAGAAAAAGCCUCAGAAGUAAGUUCCCGUGCCCCUUACACCUGCCAGCCCCCAACCUGUCCCCGUCUUUGUCUUGGGUCUCUUCCUGCCCCCCAAGGGCCAGGGCCAAUUUCAGGUUACACCCAGGAAGCUCCAGGUUGCAACCCAGUGCUGUCCUUAUAGGGAAACUUACAGUAUCCCCCCCACGACACACCUGUCCCCCUAGACUAACAAGGUGCCCAUUUCCUACGUCCAUACAUACCCCCAACUGUAGACGCCAGUCUGCACUUCCUUCCCUGCGCGCCUGUCUCCUUAGUCAGGUGGUUAGCUCCUGCUGGCAGGACAUGGGUGUCGCUUCUCUGCACAUCCCUUAUUCCCAAGGUGGGCCUGACGCAUAGUGGGUGCUUUACUGGGGGGGUGAAGGGCUCAGCUUGGUUGGAUGGCAGUGUGUAUACCCUACCCAGAACAAGGACAGGUCGAGAACUUAGGCCACUGUCCACUCCUGGCCCUGAAUCUUUCUGUCCCUGAAUCCUCCCUCUUCCAGGGCUCCCAAGAGGGAGCCGCCAUUCUCAUCAGAGGACCACAGACUGCCUCUCCAUCCGUUCAUGUGGGGAGAAUUCCUGUUUCUUUUUAGCUGAAACAGGGUUAGACUCUUUCAUGAGAUUUCCUUUAAAAAAAACUAAAGGAAAAAAAUAAAAAUAAAAAAAACUAAAGGAAGGGAGACGCCUGGGUGGCUCAGUGGUUGAGCAUCUGCCUUUGGCUCAGGUUGUGAUCCCGGGGU